rnacentral:misc_RNA from 1 species
UAAGUUCCUCCAUCACCAUCACCCUG